UACGGAUGGUCCGGGCGUUAUCCGGAUUUAUUGGGUUUAAAGGGAGCGCGGGCCGAAGGUUAAGCGUGACGUGAAAUGUAGUUGCUCAACAUCUGCACUGCGUCGCGAACUGGCUUUCUUGAGUGAGUACGACGUGGACGGAGUUCGUGGUGUAGCGGUGAAAUGCUUAGAUAUCACGAAGAACCCCGAUUGCGAAGGCAGUCCACGAGUCCUUUACUGACGCUAAAUCUCGAAAGUGCGGGUAUCGAAC
rnacentral:rRNA from 1 species